GGUUUGACGCACACGGCACCAAACUGUUUGAUUUAAUUUUGGAUGAGAUCGUUCUUGCAGCAAGAUGUUAAUAAGACAAAAUCUAGGUUAUUCUGGAGCAAACCCAGACAUAUUUGUUAUUUAUUGAUCUCCACCUCAUCCCCAUUGCCUUAGAUUGUAAGCAAAAGAAAUCAAGGUCAAGAUCUGGAAGCAAGAAGAAAAUGCUAACAUUACCUCAUGGUGCUGACGAGGUUUACAUUCUCCGAUGCAGGUUUUGUGGCCUAGUCUUUCGAGGACCCUUGUCUGUUCAGGAAGACUGGAUUAAGCACUUACAACGACAUAUUGUAAACGCUAAUCUUCCACGGACUGGAGCUGGCAUGGUGGAAGUCACGUCACUACUUAAAAAGCCUGCCUCCAUUACAGAAACUUCAUUUUCUCUACUAAUGGCCGAAGCAGCUUCAUAGAACCAGGAAACCUUUUAAAUAGCCAGUUUGAAUUGGAUGUAAAUUUGAAAUUCUUUUUUUUUAAGCCACAUUAAAUUAUCUGUUUAUAAAUACUAAAGCAGGAAAAUGGGGGGAAAGUGAAUUACAGUGACAUCAGAGCAAAUUGAAUACUUAAAACAGUAAGUAGUCUAUAUAUUUUAUAUAGGGUGGAAGAUGUGUUUUUAAGGUUUAUGAAGUUUUGUUGGUUAACUGUGUUCACUCAGUAAAAGAGCAGUACAUGUAAGCAGCCAUUAAUAAACUGUUGCACAUGGAUACUUAUAGACAGACUUAUUGGACAAUUAUGUUUUUUGCAGUGUUACCAGAAUCAAGGCUCUGUUUAUUCCCCACAAGACUUGCAUAGAAAAAUAAGAUAUUAUAUUUUGUUUGUAU
rnacentral:lncRNA from 1 species